AUGGAGUUCAAGAAGCAGUGGGACCCUUUUCAAAAUGAACUUGAAUUGCCACAAGUGUUUGAUGGGCGGAAACCCCACUUAUAUGUGAGGACAUUAUUCGAUCAGAUGGUGUUUCACGAGGAGGAAAGAGAAACAAGCAUCAAAUUCAAUCAUGAGGAGUCAUGCCCCCCCAAAAUGCAGACUGAACUCAUGCAAGCAGUUUAUGGAAUAAAUCUGCCGCAAGCAUUUUAUAAGAAAGAUUUACUAUCAAUUGCACCAAGGAAGCAAAAGAGAGUGUCGUUCAACCUGAAUCCAAACCUUGUUGCAGUUGCAGAAAGGAUGCAACCAAAGGCAGUGACACCAUCACUCAAACAUAGAGGCCAAACUGGAAAAGUUCAACAGGCAACUACGCUGGCUAACAAGGCAAGUCAAGCAAAAUGUCAGGCAACUUACAGUGUUCAGAAGCCGGUUGAGCAAGGUCGCAAACCUGGCACUAUCAAACAAGCAAGUUCAAUGGGGAAGUUGCCAACCACAGGAGAGAAGUUGCUUGAUGAGAACCGACACAUUAACAACUUUCCAGACUCUGGUACAAAACAACAAGGCCAACUGGAUGUGUUGCCUAGGAAUGAUGCAAAACAACCAGUGCCUUUUGAGAAGUUGCCCAACAAUGUUAUUGAUUUUCCUGCAAGGAGCCAUCAACCUGCCACCUCACACACGACUGGUGGAAUAAGACCAGUGCCAGAGGAGAAGUUGCCUAGCCCUGUUGUUGUUUUGGCUGCAAGGCCCCCUCAGCUUGCCAAUUCAACUAGAAUGGCUAGGAAACAAACAGUGCGACUGCCCAACCAGAACUUGCCCAAUACUAUUGCUGACUUGCCUGCAAGGAACCACCAACCUGCCAUCUCAGAUAUGACCGGUGGAAAUAAAGCAGCGCCAGAGAACAAGCUGAGGGGCACUGAACAGAUGAUGCCUGCAGGGACUGAUGUAAGACAUGUAGGACCAGCAGCAAAGUUACUAAAGACUAACCUGAGUUUGCCUCCAACACAUCUCCAAGGUGAGACAAACAAGGAGAACUGGCCACCGACAAUAGUUGAAGAGCCAGCCAACGAACUCAAGAGUAGAAGGUUGUCCGGGAUGUGCAAUGACUACUGCCCAGCUCCCAGUUUUGGAGUGAUUUCCGAUGAGUUGGAACCUGGCCUUGAAGAUGGAGAUAAGGACAUCAAAAAAUGGGAUGAAGUUCUUAACAUGCAAACAGAGGAUAUCGCAACAACGAGCAUAAGAGAAGUAAUAGACCUUGAUGAUGUUGUGUGGGAUGCAGAGGAACUAGAGGCAGCAUGUGCUGAAGCAGAGCGAAGGGGGAAAGAUUCAGUUAAUUCUGCUAUGUUCAGUACACCACAGAAAAUGAACAAUGAAAUAAAUGUGGGGUCAGGUGGUAAGUUUUCUAGCAGUAGCAGUUCAGGGGAGGUAAUUACGAACAAAUUUGAGAGGAGGCUCAUGAAGCCAUCAUCAUCUUUGAGAUCACCUUUCACGGGCAUUGACAACCAAAAGGAAUUCUAUUGCAAACCCGAAGUCAACCACUUAUAUGCAUCUGUUAUUUUGCAUGCAAGGCGCAGUGCAGAAGAAUCGCCCGAUACAGAUAACAGCCCAAGAAUCAUCGACUUUGAUGGAUAG
rnacentral:rRNA from 1 species